CGUGAGUCGGCUCCUGCUAAAACUUUGCCGUCGAGCUGCUUUUGGGUUCGUCGGGCUGCAGUUUCCAUAGAAGCAACUUAUCCCCGCGAUCAUCUUGUUGGGUGCACUUUGCAAGCUCAUUUCCCGUCUGAGUUUGCUCCGCCGCUCUCAGAUGCUGCAGCUGACACAUUUCCUCCCCGUGCACUUUGCACCCACCUCAUCCUUGCCCAGAUGCUCGGGGCUGAUUGUGCCUAAAGGGGGUUUCAUUGCGCUCCGCAGCUGCCUCGGGGGAAGGGAGCAUUAUAUAUUUAUUUUGAGUUCUGCUUUUCCCCUUCUCCAGCAGGCCUUCCUCACUGCCCCGGCCCGGCCCUGGCACAACGAAGCGGCCCCCAGCCCCCGCCUCGUGCCCGUCGUGUACGAGCUCUGCCGGUGACAUCGGGGCCCUGUCCGCGUGGGCGGCCCUGGGGAGCAGCAGUGGGGACCUCGCCCUGCUCCCAGGACUGCUCCUGGAUGCUCUGCCAUAGUGCAGAGCCCCCGGGGUCUCGCCGGCGGCAUCCUGCUCCCCGUCACCGCUGCCCGGUGCUUUCAGCCACCUCGUUUGGCCACGUGGUGCACAUUGCUUCCACGCUUCCAUUCUGAACCUCCUGCUGCGUCCCAAGGACGGCUGCCCCCUUCAUCCUCGCUUCUGAAAUGCUCCUUUGCCCAUGGCUACGUUCCCCUGUCCCCAGAGCCACCUCUCAUGGAUCCCGCAUCCCUAAUUCUCAGUAGUACCACUGCUUCCCCAAAUCCCACUUUGCUGCAGCAGGUCUGGGCAAUCCCCAGCAUGUGGUCACACCUUUGCUAGGUCCCUUUUCCAAACUCCAUACUCUUCUGUGCCUUCUUUGCAGAUGCCAUGGAUCUGCCCCGGCAAGACCUUCCCCCACUAUGCUUUUGAAUAACGUUGCUUUUGUAUGGCGAUGUUUGCCUUCAUCCCCACUUCUGCACAUCCCUCUGCUGCUGCUGUUGUAUUCCCAAGCUUGGAGGCUUGCGAGGUAUUGUACCGAAACAUACACGUUUUGUCAUUUCUUCCUGGACAUCUGUGUUUUGGGCAGCCAACGCUGGGCUACAGGAUGGACGGGUGUCUGUUCUGACUGAGCUCUGACGUGCUUAUUGCUUUAUGGUCACGCUCCCAGCUCUGCAGGAAUGCCUUUUUACUCAAACUGUAUUUUCUAGCACCACCCUGUGAAGAGGAGCGGUGUUGUUUUGCAGUCACGAAGUCCAAGUUCACACACUUCAGUUCUGAUGUUUCUUCUGUCAUGUAGGGUUUCUGGUCUCUGCAGCGGGACCGGUGCCCCGAAGGCAUUUCUGUGUGUGUUAACUGCCACCUGCAAAGGGCUGUUGCUGAGCUGAUGCUACUGGAAGAAUGUUGCCACGAAAUCCAUCUGAAGGCAACAGCUCUCUGGCAUAGGAAGUGUUACUGGUGGGAGGUGUGUUAGAUCUGACUAUUAACUCUUGCCUAUUUACCCCAAAGCAACUUGAUGGUUUUUUUUAAUCUCUUAAGUAUGGGAUAAUUCCCACUAAUUUCUUGUCUGUGCUUUAGCUAAGUGUCUCUAGAAAUGCUUGUAGGGAACCAGUUGGGUGGCUCUGUAAGUUCUGUGAUUGCGCUAAAAGUGGGGAUCAAACAAUUCCCUUCUUACAUAGGAGAUGGUCUUCAGCUACCCUGGCUCGCCCAGUGAUACUUCUAAAUUUGUAUUUAAAGUAGUAAAUGUUGCAAAUUUUACACCCCUCCACAAUUCCCUGCAAGAUCCCCUUAGGAUAGAAAGGAGAGUGGAGCUGGUGCUGAGGUUACUGACAGCACCUCACCUGCACUGAGGAGCAAACCGAGGAUUAAAGAUGGGCUUGUGCCUGUGUUAGUCACCUGCCCAGCUGCUCCAGCUCCCUCAGCCUCUCUGUUUGGCCUGACUUUGGUUUGCAGGCACAGAACUGUGUGAAUAAGGUCACAAAAUGCUCACGUUCAUUUCACUGGGUAAAGGAAGGAUUGGAAACUGCAUCGGUGGGUGAAGAUGUUAAUACCUGUUCCAGGUCGGGUCUCCACCCCCAGCUGUCUUACAGCUUAAAUCUUAUGAUGAUUAUGAGGAUAGCUACCUUUGUAUAGAAUACUCUGUGCAUUUGUUGUUACUCAGUAGUAAUAAUGUUUCAUGAACAUAGGGGAGGAAUGAAGUCUGCGCCGCAGCUGUUGUUGGUGAAUCCAUUAUCCUGCCUUCCUUCCCAGCACUUCACCUACGGGAUGAAAAGCCUUGUACUGUUAAGUAAGCAGUGUUGAUCCAGUGGUUUACUGAAGCUGUUGGUGGUUCUGUUGGGAGAGGGCCCACAGCAUUCUCAGUGCUUUUUAGCUAAUGCAUAGAGCAAAAUAUUUUACAAUCAUUCCGCUCAGGUUUGGGUGCUGGAAACGCAACGGAACAAGAUGUGUGCAGUGAAUCCCAGAUGCGCCCUCUGAAGUCCCACUGAACCACAUGAGUUCUGGAGUUUCUUAGGCUGUAAAAACUUUGCUUCUCUACGGACCCGGAAUCUGUGUUAUCUAGGUUAAGCUGACUUUCUUAGCCACUGUCUGCUGCAUUAACCCAACUGGGAAUCACAAAAUAGGUACGUGUCUAAGUCUCUGGAGAGGCCUGGUCCAGGAGGUGUGCUCAGAUCAUGCUUAAAUGCACAUUGACAGCGUGGAGCUUAGCACAAAGCACAGCAGCUGUAGCUGCUGGAAAGUUUAAGGGGGAGAGAGGGAAAAGAACUGCUUCGCUUUUAGAAAUUGUUUUUCUCGUGAGAGCACUUGCCCUGGAAGUGAGAGAUUCAAUACUCUCCUCAUUAGAGAGGUGUUACGAACUCCCUCCCGCUUGUAAAGCACCCCCAACGACCAAAGAUAAGGCUGAGGUGGAGGAUACCCACCCAUCCUGUUGAAGCUUGCCGCUGUAAAGAAAAGGAUGCAAAUUUCAAAGGGCCAGAGGGAUUACAAACAAGAGGGAGCCUGUCACUGUAGCUCUGGGGCAAAGGCAUCUCUUGGAUGGCAAGAAGCUCGAAUGCCAGGCCUGGCCUGGCAGGCUCACCCAUUCUUGAGGGUGAGGUUCAUCUCACCUUAUCUUAUUUACUUAGAAGUUUGAUGUCUUGUCUCUCCACAGUCAGUGAGAAGAGAGAACAAGAGACACCUGCAGAGAAUGAUUCAUUCUGUGCCUGUUCGACACCGCUCUGGAUGGAACAAGUCUCCUUGCUGGGUGUUGUCUCUCCCCAUCAAUUCUCAGCAGAAGCUAGACAACCAGUUCUGACCAGAAGCCUGACUUACGGGUGCCACGUGAGAUGAAUUGUACCACAGAUGACUAAUUUUUCUCAUUCAUCAUACCUGCUUUUGGCCUAUAGAAGUUGGGUCAUCAAGGAAGAUAUUGAAGAGGACAGGCCCCAGUACCGACCCCUGAGGAACACCACUCAUGAUCAGUCGCCAGCUGGAUUUAACUCCAUUCACCACCACUCUGUGGGCUCAGCCCUCCAGCCAGUGCUUUACUCAGCAAAGAGUGUAUCUGACCAAGCCAUGAGAUGCCAGCUUCUCCAGGAGAAUACUGUGGGAGACAGUGUCAAAGGCUUUGCUGAAGCCUCGGUAGACUGUAUUGACAUGCAUAAUAUAAUCACAGAAUCACCAAGGUUGGAAAAGACCUCCAAGAUCAUCUGUUCCAACCAUCCCUCUACCACCAGUAUUUCCUGACUAAACCAUACAGAUGGACUAUGCCAGAGUUGGUUCUCAGACUUUCUAGACAACUGAAAACUAUGUUUUUCUUUGUUUUAUGUUUUUCUGUGGGAGUUGACACAUUUUAGGUAAAAUACUUGAAACAGAGAGAAAAUGAGCAGUGAUUAACGCACUUUCACCAAGAACGUAUUCUUGUUAUGGUCUUGUGGAGUACUGGAGAUUUACAGAGCACAAUGUGUAACCUCUAGGCCAAAUGCUCGUAGUUGUAAGCUGUAUGCAUUUCUGAGCCAUAGUUCAGCCUGUUGUUGGAUGUGGUAAUCUUUGAUUAUGGGACUGCUUAUUCAUUUGCUGAAAAGAUGUGACUUAUGUAGUUGAGAGAGACUGUCUUCAGUGGAAGCCUUGCCUCAGUUAUUGUAAGAAGAGGCAAGAUAUACCCAUAAAACUGCUGAAUUCUGCUGUGGAGGAAUUAAUGCAAUCCAUGUGUCUGCCACAAUGUUUUUUUGUGAGAUGAUAGUGAUGGACAAGUCACUUCAAGCAGAAUUUGGUCAGGAGACUGUUUAGCACAUGGGAAGUCAGUGGGAGUUGUUCUUAAAUAUCUUAAGUGUAAUGAAAAUGCCAAGUACUAUGAAGUAACAGGUCCAAGCUAUCACAAGCUUGGCAGCCAGAACUGGAGUUAUUAACCAGUAUGUUUUCUGGUCAGCUGCUUCACAAAUAACCAUUGUCUUAAAGUUAACAGAUUAUCAUUUUUUCCUUGAAAAGUGAAUGCCCCUUUUGAGGGUAGACAGAGUAUAUUCUAGUGAGUGGUUCAUGAGUUGACAGAUGCUUAUUGUAAUAAGUGACAUCCCAAUUUCCAGUCAGCUUUUUGGAGACUGCAGAUGGAUUUUAGCUCCUGGUCUCCAACCAGGAGCUCACAGUUGGUGCAGAGCUGGUGAGGUGACCGCCAGGAACCAAGUGAAGCCGGCAGAGAGUGAGAGAAGAAAGAUAACACCGGCUUGGUUGGAUGGGGCUGGAGGACCAGGGAAGGUACCAAUCACAGCUGAGUGAGGCCUUGGAGCCUGAAGAAGGAGGUCUAAAGAUUAAAGGGGAACAGGAGAGAAGGAAAAUUCAAGAUUCAUAUCCCUUACCAUUUCUUCUUCUUCUUCUUUUUAAAUUUUCAUUUGAAAUUAAGAACUAAAAUAAGGAACAAUGCUCAGAAAGUGAAUGCUUCUGGAGACAUUUCUUGUGUGUCUGUGCCCUUUUAUAGGUACAACAACGUAUGGUGCUUUUCACCCUAAAUCUCCUGACUUCUGGGACACAAGCUCGAGAUUGAUGCCAUGAGGUCUAUAUUAACCAUCACAUAAGUGGAAGUCUCUGGAAGAGACUCCAGAGCUGGUAGUUUGGGGCGUUCAUCUGAAACACUGGGAAUUACCAGUUGUGGUGUGAACUAGAGAAAAACAGGCUACAAAGUGUUGGUCAUUGGCAGACCUUUUAAACAUCAGGUCACUUCUAUGAGAAUUUCCUCAGGAAAUGUUCAGAAUAUUCUUGGGUUUCUUCUGAACCAUGUCAGUAAGACAUCUGAAAUACUAACAAGUGCCACAAGGUGAGAAAAUCAUUCUUCCUGACCUGGAUCCAUUCAGUGCAGUUUGGGGUACAGGAUCUUUCCAUUACAACCAGCAUCACUUUGAAGUCAUAUCUGAUACAGAACUUCUGAAUAGUUGCUGGUAUUUGACUGUGUUUGCAGAAAUUGUUUAGUACACGGUGACUGUGUUCUGCUUCAGUGUUUUUUUGUCUAUUUUUAUGUGAGCUUCUGCUCUGUUUCUGAUAGCGUUUGUAUAGAUUCUAUCAAGGAAAACAAAUGUCAUGGGGAAGUUUUAGGUAAUUUUUUUGCUGUCGGGGUGUUUUUUGUUUUUUUUUUUCCUUCUGUAAUGCAGAUGUUCCUAUUUUAAACCUGGUAAAGGCAUUUCCAUCUGAGACGGUGAUACUCUGCUUUGUACACAGAGCAGAGAGAACAGAAACACACCUUUCAAAUUGGCUCAGGGAGCAAUGUGCAGUAUACCAAUUGCUCUCUUUUCCACUGUUGUGGACAUUCCUCUGCAGGAUAAGCAGGCUGCCCAUGUGGUUGCACAGGGGUGGCUGUGCAAAUGACAUGAAACAGGCUGUAGAUACUCCUUUGGUGGAGACCCAGUAAUCUUGAUGUUUGACACACGUGGGGCCUGAUGAAGAGACGGUAAAACCCAGGGAGACUUUCCCCAUCAGCCUCACAGCUUUGAAUUCAGUUUCAGGUGCAGUUGAGGAUGUAUAUGAAGUAUACAGCUGGGAUUUGGCUGGGAGAACUGUUGCCUGUGAGAGUGGAGAGGGAAUUUUUUUCACUGCUCUGGGGUGGUGAGUGAAUUUUAUCUAACACCUUCCACUUGCCUGUAGCCAGCCUGCUCACGUUCAUACUGCCAUAGAAUGUUCUAUACUGAUUCUGCCCCCAGACUGUAAAGAACAAGAUAAUAACUUUAUUUUAUGUACUGGAGAGCUACAUUGUUUUAAAAGUCUUAGUUUAGCAGGCAAAGAUGAAUUUAUUUGCCAAAGACAUUCAGAAGCAGCUUGGGAAACUCUGCCAGAGCCCAGCUUUAACCACUAACUGGUGGCUGUUGUACUUAAUAGCUGUCAGGCAUGCUUGCAGUGUGAGGGAGACUGGCACAAAAUCCAGGAUGUAGGGGAUUUUCCUCCAAACAACAGCAAGUGCAAUCAAUUCACAAAUCGUAUAGUUGAAUAAGAAGAAAACCUGCAUCUGCAGCCACUUGCAUGUUGCAUCCCUUACUGGCUCUGCUCCCGUACCUGGGACGAGAAACAACCUUGCUCUUGUUUCACACUCUUUAUCCGUUCUGUCCAGCUCUAUUAACUUAGCGCACUGCUGAACAUUACCUUUGCUCUGCUUGCACUGCUGGCCUUUGCCAUCCUUUUCCCACCUAGAUAUCUUCGUGCUUUCCUGCAUCCUAACCUCCAUGUGUGGAACAAAGUCUGGAAAAUUCUCUCCAUCUGCUCUUCUUCAGAUCAUUCUGUCAGAUGCACUUCGACCCUGAUGCCUGUGGGGCACUGCUGAUAAUGGCCAGAGUGCAAGUUACAUUGUUUUCUAGCCAGCCAAUGUGAAAACACGUUCAUGUUGUUUCUACUGUGGUUUUCAUAUCAACCCCUUUCCUGCCAGGGAGGACAAAGCCAUAAUGCCUUUUUAGUAAUGGCCAACUGUCUUUGGAAGCUGACACAGAUAAGAGCGGCUCUCAGCCCACAAGUUGUUACCUUCCUUCUCCUCGAGUCACAGCUCCACCAGUUUGCUUUUAGCCAUCGUAUUCAUUUUGUUCUCCUUGACUUCUGCCCAUCUGUGAAUGCAGCUUUCUGGCCUCACCAAGGGACUAUGUCAGCAUCCACCCUUUCAGAAUAUGUUAACAGGUCUUGGCUCCAACCAGCAAAGGUCGUUUUUUUGGGGGGUGGCUUUCUUGCAUACGCAGCCACGGAGCCCUUUACAGAGUGACAAAAAGACUUCCUUCCCAUUUGCUAUUACUCACCUAACUGUGUUUGGAAGGGGCGGGCAUCCUAGCUAAUCAGAGCUUCAGACAGGCAAUUCCUCAAAUUGUUUUAGGGUUUUUAAUUAAAACUGUAGGCUUCAGCACCACAUGGCAGAGAGCCAGAAGCAGUCAUCUGACAAUAGCCUUCACCAUCUACCAACAAUAAGGGAAUUCCUAAGUGUACGCUCGGGAGGCUUCUGAAAUGCUGUGAACGGCUGAGAUUGGUGUUUGCAAAGCACCCUGCAACAUUUGGCCUUGCAGGUCUGCCGAUUUUUACAUGAUAUAAACAAAACCCUAUAAUCUCCACCCAGCACAGAGAUACUGACUUGUGUUUAUACUGUCCAGAUCACAGAUGCUGAGCAUGAAUGCAUGAGCAGUCCUUUUGUAUAGUGUUUGACACUUUCUGUGGCUGUCUGCGCUGUUUUUUAAUAUACAGAAUCCCCGGUUCUCCACUGCCUUGCACCCUGUCUAUUCAUUCUCACCCCUGUGAAGUGAGGGUAAAACACUAUCAAAACAAAAUGGUACCACUUUGCAUGUUUUCCACUCAGUUUGUACAGGUGUAAAUGACUACAGAAAGAACAGGGCAGAGCAGAACCUGACCCGCAGUCUGUCUCUCCAUGCGUCAGGGGUCCUGAAGUGGGGUAUGACAGAACAAACACAAGCUGUUACCUUGCCAGUUUUGCUUUUUUGUUUGCUUUUUGGUGUUGUCGUUGUUUAAAAUCAGGCAGCUUGCAGGGAUGACAGAUGCAAAAGUCGGGCAGUACUUGGUUCCUGUAGUCCUCACGUGACGUCUUCUCAUCGAGUAACGAAAGUGUUACCCGUGGCAGAGGUAGGUGGGCAUGAUUACUGGUAUGGGAGCAUGAUUGUCAAUGUGAGUAAGCUCUGAGUAGUUAAGCUGUUGCAGUUAGAGAGAAAAAUCCUCCUUGUUCUUUCUGUUGCUUGUUACGUUACCUUAGCUCUUAUAAACUAUUACAAAGGAGGCUGAACUCUCCAAGCUGGGUCCUGGAAAAGAGUGGCACUCAAUUUUUAGAUGUAGUCAUUACUCUUUUUGUCCUUGUAGCAGCAGAAGGCUAUACCCAUCCUAAGUCAUCUUAAAUCAUCUUCUGAUACUGCUUAACACAUCUCUGCAGGCACGCACUUGAACCUUCUUCCAAAAGAAACGGUGGCUCCUUUCUAUGCUCUCUACACAAAACCCAGCUCUCUGGCUCUUGCCCUACUUUCCUGAGCAGCGCACCAGACCGUCCAAGCCCAAGUCUCUGUUUUCACCCAGAGAGAGAAUUUACUUAUGACACAUAGAUAUCAUUAUCACUCCUUUGCUGGAUGUUUCCCAUAAAUACAGAUCCUGCCUAUUCCUAGGCCCUGGACUACCCUAAACUUUCUCUUUGUUUGUCUGAUUUUUUUACCUCCAGAAAUCCUGUCCGGUUACAACUGUCCAAAUCCUUCAGCUCACACCAUUACCUGCUGUAAGUGCUGCCUUGGGGCUGACCGCCUGCUCAUAAAGGAGCGGCGUACUGCCUUAGUGGUUCCAGCAGGUAGGAAGGAGAUGAAUCUUUGAGAAGGGCCUUGGCUCUGCAGUGCCUUGUGCAAUCGGUGGGUGAGCACUGCACUGUGCCCCAAUUCUGAUAAAACAUGAAGAUUUUGUAUAGUGCUGUUUUCAAAUGUUGUCUCUGGAAAGCAGGAUAAGAAAGCCAGCAGACUCGGUGGCUGCAAAAUAGAAGGCAGUGUAGAUAUAAUGUACUUUGUUAUUAACGCAAGGAAAAUGAUGUUGAAUUGCACCAUAAAUAUCCUUCCAAGAAAAAAAUAUAUCAAAGCUUUGUGUAGAUAAAUGCUGGCAGGAUCUGAAUUGAACAAAUAUUACAUAGUUCAGAGGCUGUUGUACAAUGUGGGAAGAAUGGGCAGAAGUUACGGUCCAGAACAGUAUUUUUUCUCAUCUACAAUUACAAUCUCAACCUUACCACUGCAUUAACAUAUGCACCCAUUUUUAGAAAUGAUGUGUAUUUUCGUGACUCAUUUGAGUGCUCUGUAACUAUUUGUAUGCAAAUGUGUCGCAUUAAACAUUCUCACAGUCACACACUUUCCCCUCCCAUUGGAGUGCAUACGCAGUUAGGAGUGGUGUGGGGUUCCUUCACCUCUCCUAAACAUUUCAUUUUGGUGUUCGUUUGCAGCCUUACUUACUGUAAGUGAAGGUAGGAUUCACCUUGCAGAUUAAGACACCAGUGUAUAGAGGCUUAUAAGUUUUAGAUUUAGUUGCCAACAUACAGCAGUCCAGCACUAUCGGAGGUGCUCCAGCCUUGCAUGUGGCCUUCAGCUGCUGCUCCGUACUGGUCAAGAAGUCCAUAGGUGGUGUGCCAUCCUUACCAGCCCUGCAUUAGGUGUUUUGGAUACCUAAUUACCUCUCAGAUGACAGUGACUAUAGUCAUCAGACAUCUGAUCAGUCCUCUCAGAGUCGUCUCAGGGAGUGUCCAACUGAUGCCUCAACAUCCAUGGCUGCCUUUGAGUUAUUUGAACGGCUUUGUAGCCUUUCACCACUAACUCACAAAUUGACACCUACAGAUACACACUAACAUUUCUCAUAUUCAAGGAGAUAAAUUGCGCUCUAGGUGUCACGUGUUUGUUAUUUCUGGAAUGGCCUGUGCUACCAGUACAGGAAAAAAUGCUGUAACUGAACUAAUUGAUCCAUUAUAUUGGUCUGCAGACAGAAGAUAGCACACCCAAGUGUACAUUCACUCCUGUGCUGUGUGAUAUCCCUGUGGUUUUCAGACGUUCUGCUGAUUUGGAACAUUUUCUCUGUUUUCUUCUUCAGAGCUUGCCUUCACUUCUAAGGAGCCCAGGCACACGUCUCUGCUGUGGUUGCAGUUAAGGUGGCUAAGUAGCUAAAUGGGAGUGAACUCAAGUGUCCUUUUGUUGGCGCACCUCUGACUGUUAGCUGAUCAGUUGUAGGGGGGCUAAAAUUUCUGUGCUGAUAGAAAAUUAAGCACAUUGUAAAAGAUGUAUGUAAACAAACUGGAAAGAAGAGAAAGUAGAAGCUAGGUACCCAAUCCAGCUACGAGCUCUCCUGAACACUGCAGGAUCAGGUCUUAUAAAGGAAGCACUACCUCUUCUAUUAAUGACAGCAUCAUUAGCAGCACAGAUAUAUAGAACUCUUAAAUUAAUAGUGCAGCAGAUUGCUCCUGCUGCACUUAAGAAGCAGUUCAAUGUAACAACCACAAACUAAAAUAUUACCAAGUUUGUGAACUUCAAAGCAAACUUUCCUUCUUUUUAAAGAGUUUUACAGAACAGCUGAGCAUAUUUUCUCCUACCUCAUCUUUAAAGAAAUUACAAAAGAAUGUAUACAGCAAGCCUGAAGUUCCUGCCAGUCCUUCAUCUUGCUUUUCUUGGCAUAUUGGUAGGGAAUCUGGACACUGAAAUUUACUCUUAAUGAGGACCUUGUUUUACGGAUGUGUUCUUAUUCUGUGCAGUAACGCUUAUCUGAACUGCUUGUUCUCUUAUGGAGGGCCAAAAAAGAUACCUUGAAGAUAAACACUGAAGUAACGAGUCAAAAUGCUUAUUUAUUUAUUUAUUAAGUUUGGGAAGUAUAGCUGGUCAUUAAUCCAGUUGAAUUCCCUUAUCGAUGUACGUAUUGGUUGAUUUUAAGUUUACGAUAUAUCCACAGUCUUCUGCAAUCUUCAUUUCAAGGAUUGGUCAACUGAGAGAAAAAAGGUGUGUUUUCUUUGGCUUUUGAUGGAUUAAACGUAGAGGCAGCAAAUAUUAGGUAGGUUUUGGUCAACGUAAAUGAAAGCUGCAGGCAGUAGUUUAAAUGGGAACAGUGAUUUAGCUGAAGUGUACCUGAACAGGAACUGAAGGUGGAAAGCAAGAAUGUGAAGAAGUGGCCAGGGCAGCAACUGUGCCGUGGAGCAAAUGAAGAGAAGCUGAAAACACUUACCUAGAAAUGAAAAAAUAAGCCCAACUAACUAGCAACCAGCAGUAGGCAAGAGGGAUUAAAGCAAGCGACAGAAAGCCCAGAUAUGCAGAAAUACAUUAUGCUUACUGCUGAUUGCCAAGAAUCAUUAAGUGACUGUCAUUGAAUGCUGGACUAAAAGCAAG
ensembl:lncRNA